UAAAUGUGCGCUCAAGUAAAGCAGACAUUUUGAGGUGAAGAAUAAAAUAAUGUGUAAUCAUAUAAUAGGCUUAAUUUUAACUAGUUCAAUUUCACUGAUUUAAUUUUCUUUGCAUCCCCUUUAUGCUCCUGGUGUUUUGACUUCUGUUUACGCGCCUUCUUUGAAUCUAGGAGGGGUGGCACAUUAGAAAUUUUCUCACACACAUCAGAUUCAAACUUAUAAAUAAUAGUAGUUUUCUCUUCCUAUAGUUGAUUGUGGUGUGUAUGAUAGAACACUAGAAGCUUCUCAUAUAUCUAUUUCCCAUAUGUAUUCUAUUGCUGAUUCAAUUCCUUCUGUUAUGACUCAUCCACCAUUGUUCCCUUAUCUUUCCAGUAAGCUAUUGCACUCUUUUUCCAGGAACCUGAUUAUCAAUUUCAGAAAACAGAUUUUAUUUGCUUCAUAUAUAUAUGUGCUGUUAUGAUUUUCAAAUUCAGAAAUUUCUUAGUCUGACUAGUUGUUGAUGAAUUUGAGAUGCUUAGAAACUUACUGUAUGCUUGUUGUUCUUCAUCUUGUUCUUCUUUGUUGUUCGUCUGCUUCUUGUUCUGAAUUUCUGGAUUUCAAUAACUUGAUUUCGGAAGGUAUAAUCCGAAGUUAAGCAUUUUCGGAAGUUAGGAACCGAAUCAAAGCGUUUUCGGAAGAUAGAAACCGAAUCUAAGCGUUUUCGGUAGAUAGAAACCGAAUCUAUACUGAAUUCAUGGAAGAUGCGUUUUCAGUUGUUAAUUGCUGUUCUGUUUUGGAAGAUGUGUUUUCGGGUUAUAGAAUUCAAACCAAACAUUAAGGGUAUUUUGGGAUUUUUUUAGGGGUUUCAGAGCAACUAUGGAGGCCUAAAAACCAAUUUUCGGCACCUAAGUGUGUAAAAUAGCAAAAAUUGGAAAAAUACUGUUAGUUGGCUAACUUGCGAACAAAAUUU
rnacentral:lncRNA from 1 species